GUACGUCCAGCCAACUGACCUGUUCUGGGGUUAGACAGGGUUUGUUUUUGGAGUAAUAAAUUCAGCUACUCGGGAAUUUGGCUCCAGCUGCAGAUGUAGCAGAGGAGAUGGCUUUGCUUGGCAUCAAUAGGAGGAGAUGCCCUUGGUCCUAUAAAGGCUAAAUACCCCAGUGUAGGGGAAUACCAGAGAUUUGAGGUGAAAGUGGGUACAUCCUCAUAGAACCAGGUAGAUGAGGGAGGGGAAUGGGAGGGGGGAAUAACAUUUGAAAUGUAAAUACAUAAUAUAUUCAAUUAAAAAAAACCAGUAGGAUUAAUUCAGAAAGACUGGUGGUCAGAAAAACUCAACCACAUUGUAGUCUCCUGGCAAAGAGAAACCCCAGGGUCAAGGUCAAAAUGACUCCUCCACCAUGUGGUGACUAUUUUAAGUAGGAAGCUGACCUGUUCAACCAGAGGAAUCAUGGGUAGAAUAAGUCCCAACUUUGACAGGUGGCAGAAAUGGAGCUAUAUUCUCCUAGACUUCAGAGUAAGCUAGCUGUGUGUUCCUGUGUUUACACUUGCAUCUCAAGAUGUCCUCUGCAGAGGAAGCAAGGCCAUAGAGUAUCCAGAAUCCAUGGCAAAGUCUCUUGCCUCUAGUAGGUUGGAAGACAUUACUAAACUCAGACACAGGAACAUGGUUAGUCUACAGUGUAAGUCUUUUAGAGACUCAACCUCUGCAUAGAAUAGAUGGGUACACCUGACAGGCAGUGCUCAGAUCACUGAGCAGUGACAUUCUGUUCCGUUGGGAGGUGCAAGUCUUUGUUUUCGAUGCUCUGCCCAAGACCCUUCCCUUGAAAGUGUGUGAAAGGUGCCAGGUCCAGUCUUUAGGUAUGUCUUGCCUUGGGCCAGUGAGAACUUGUAGCAAGACAGUCAGGCACAAGAGCUUCAUCCAUAUCUCCAUAAUGAAAUUUGCUCUACCUCAGAAGCUCCCCCUUGUGUAUCUUAAGGCCUUCUUUCUCAGGGAAAUUACAUGCUUCACAAUAGUCACAAAUAUUAUAAAAUACCCUGGGGUAACUCUAACCAAACGAGUGAAGGUUCUAUAUAUAACAACUUCAAGUCUCUAAAUAAAUAAAUAAAUAAAUAAAUAAAUAGGAAGAAGAGCUCAGAAAAUGGAGAGAUAUCCCACAAUUAUGAACUAGUAGGCUAAACCUAGUAAAAUGGCCAUCUUAACAAAAUCAGUUUACAGAUUAAAUGCAAUCCCCAUCAAAAUCCCAACACAAUUCAUUAAAAACAUGGAAAAAGCAAUUCUCAAUUUCAUGCUGCACAUGAUUUUUAAAAACCAAGAUCCACAUACAAGUAGUACUAUUUCCCUGUGAGAAAAUGAAAUACGGGCAAAUAUCUUUUCUGGCAGAGGCUGAGUAGGAUAGUGGAAAGUAUUGUUUAUAGACAACGAAAUCAUAAUAUUUUCCAGGAACGGUCAAAGAGAUGGAAUACAGCCAGAACUGAGGAGCUAGUGGGUUGGUAGCAGCUGGGAUAGGCUAACAGUUCUUUGAAAUUUACUAGUUCCCAGUUAGGUUCAAUGGGAGCCUACUGUUUCAUUAGAGUCUGAAAUUGCCUCAACACAAAAUCUCAUGUGAGCAGCCAGUACUGGUGCAUACCUUUAAUCACAGCACAUAGGAGGCAGAGUUAUGCAGAUUUCUUGGAGUUCAAGGUCAGCCUGGUCAACAAAACAAGUUUCAGGAGAGCCUGACCUGCUACAGAGAGAAACUCUGUCUCGGAAAACAAAAGGUUGGGGCAAAACAGCUCAUGUGAGCUAUGCAAGAUGGCUGACAGACACAACUGAGUACACAGACAGGGUCCUAGAAUUCUUAGGCUAGGGUCUCAGGGAAAGAAGACCAAAGGGUUCUGAUGACAGUUGUCCUUUCUCCUCUUUCUCCUCUGGUUCUCUUCCAUGGUCUGAGGAACUGGGGCUGUGAAAAUAGAAACAAUCCCUAUGUAUUCUCUACUCUGCACAAGCUGGAGUCUCCUCAUCCUUGGCCAUGUGUGGGUAGCCUUACUGCCCUGUCUUAGCUCUUUCGGGGCAAAGAACUGACUGCUGGGAAAGUGCUACAGCAACUAGCUGCAGUCUGCAGAGCUUGAAGAACCCUGCAAUUAAAAGAAUCGCAACAAUCUGCGAGGAAAAAAAAAAAAAGAAUCAGAGGAAAAUGCUUUAGAACUUACCUGGCAGAGAAAGCGAAA
rnacentral:lncRNA from 1 species